CUCUGAUGAUCCCAAACGAUCCAUUCCACCCCCCUUCCAGGCAGUUUUCCGUGAGGUAGUGUAACAGAGCAGGAUGGGCACAUCCCCCAGCAGGCAGCCGCUGAUGGGCCUCAUUACUCCACACCCGUUACCAGGCAACGGGUCUUGCUCAGCCAUUGGUCCGGUUCCCCAGUGGGCGCGGCCCACAAGCCACGGUGAAUGAGCAACCGGUAGUUGUCCUGCUCAGCUAUUGGUCAGUGCCACGGUGGACCUUGCCCACAAGUAACAGUCAAUGAGGGACCAUUAGGUGCAAAUUUCUCCGGAGGCAAUUUCACAUAACCUGAACAACAGCGGAAAGGAACAAGACCCUGCGUGCGUUUAAUGGAAGAACCAGUCAAGUGCUCAGGCACUAAACAGAAUUUUACAACUCAGAAGAGGGUGGAAGCCGGCUUUAGAAAAAAUGGUGCAUGGCACUGAAGCUCUGAUUUUUCCACAAUCACAGUAUAGAAUGCAGUCACUCUUCAAUAUUAA